rnacentral:rRNA from 1 species
CAGCCGCCACGGGAAUACGUAGGGUGCAAGCGUUAAUCGGAAUUACUGGGCGUAAAGCGUGCGCAGGCGGUUAUAUAAGACAGAUGUGAAAUCCCCGGGCUCAACCUGGGAACUGCAUUUGUGACUGUAUAGCUAGAGUACGGCAGAGGGGGAUGGAAUUCCGCGUGUAGCAGUGAAAUGCGUAGAUAUGCGGAGGAACACCGAUGGCGAAGGCAAUCCCCUGGGCCUGUACUGACGCUCAUGCACGAAAGCGUGGGGAGCAAACAGGAUUAGAUACCCGGGUAGUCCCUGUCUCUUAUAC